AGACACAAAGAUACUGAGAAGAUACACAGGGAAGAAAGCUAUGUGAAGAUGGAGGCAGAGGUCAGAGUGAUGCUGCUACAAAAUAAGAAACACCAAAAAAUGUUGCCAACCACCAGCAGCUACAAGAGAGGUAUAGAGACCAGACUCUCCCUCAGAGCCUCUGGAAGAAACCAACUCUACUAACACCUCCUAAACUGAGCUGAAAUUUGUGUCUACACGAAAACCUGCACAUGAAGAUUUAUAGCAGCUUUUUAUGUAAUUGCUAAAAUUUGGAAGCAACCAAGAUGUCCUUCCAUGGGAUUAACAUCUUAGACCUUCAAUCUUUUAUUUGGAAUGUCUGUCAUUUUUGAAAAGAUGAAGAACCUUACACCUCAAUGCAGAGCUACUUUUUCUUUCGGGACACGACUAUGAAGGAUACAUGACAUUUAUUAUCAGUUGGUGAAAGGAAAGGUCUGAGUAACAGCAGACGAAGUUCAGUGAUAAAUCUAAAUAUCUCUUCAUCACAUUUUGGACUAUUUUUCUUUAGUUAUUUUUGUUAGACCUGCAGCUCACAAAACAAAAUUAUUUCUAACACCAUUAAAAUGUUCUUCACACUUCAAGUGUAAAUGCUUAUUUGUUCUUAGUGUUUCUCUGAACAGAACAAUUGUCUGAAAAUAAUGUCUGGCAUGACUUUUCAGAGAAAGGUUAACAGAGAAUAGACUCAAAGCACAGCACACAAUUCUACUCUUUGCAUUCUUCACUUUAGAAAACAGUUUAAAGUAGUUGAAUUACUUAUAAAAGUGCAUAGCAACGACAGCUUCCUUUUAAUGUACCUAGCUUCUUGAAGUUUGUUUAACCAGUGGUGGCACUACUGACUGAUGGUCUAUUUUCUUUAAAACACCAAAGAGAAGUGUAAUCUUCCAGAACAAACUACUAUGUAACUUUUAAACUUUUUAUUCUUCAGUAGCUGUCAUAGUUUGGGUGAAGGCCACAAGUGAUUUCUUCCUCUAUAACACCUGAAAAGUUGCAUUCACAUUGAGCUAAACUUCUCCAGAGUUUUC